GGGAGGCGGGGCCGGGGCGGGUUGUUGUGAGGCGUCUGCGCUACUGCCGGACCGGAGCGGUUAUGGCGGCUCCAUAUUAACACCCUCCUCCUCCGCCGCUGCCGCCGCGGCCGUCUCCUCCUCCUCCUUUCCCUCCCGCCCGCGCUCGUGAGCCGUCUCCCCCUUCACCCUGACGCCAACCUCUUCCCCUCACCUUUCCCCCUCCCCUCUUCUACCAUGCCCGGCAUGAUGGAGAAAGGGCCUGAGUUACUGGGGAAGAACCGAUCGGCCAACGGCAGCGCCAAGAGCCCGGCGGGCGGCGGUGGCAGUGGCGCCUCGUCCACCAACGGCGGGCUGCACUUCUCGGAGCCCGAGAGCGGCUGCAGCAGCGACGACGAGCACGAUGUUGGGAUGAGAGUCGGAGCCGAAUACCAAGCUCGGAUCCCUGAAUUUGAUCCAGGUGCUACGAAGUACACAGAUAAAGACAAUGGAGGAAUGCUUGUAUGGUCUCCGUAUCACAGUAUCCCAGAUGCCAAAUGUAAGUUUUUUUGGAAGUUGAAUGUUUAUGUCAAUAGGGAUCUCAACCAAUUCAAAAAAAUGCACCUUAUGUUUGUUUUUGAAUCUCUUAGAUUCUCAUAAGAAAUCAGUUUGUCUAUGUUUCGUUUUGUUUUUUGAUGGAGAUUGUCAUGUUAGAAUGUUUUUCCUUUUGAAAGAUAGUGGGUUGAUCAUUCCAAUUUGUGUCAGGCCCAGGAAGACUGAGAAAACCUAGGAUCUGAUGGCAUUGCUGCUUAAAUCCUCAAGCAGGGGAGGGAGUUACUAUGUAGACAUCUGCACAGGCUUUUCCUCAGUAUAUGAAGCUCUAAAGAAAUGCCUUCAAACUUCCAAGAGCCCACUAUCAUUACCAUUUUAAAGAGGAAAGGGGAAAGAACUGACUUCAGCAGCCAUCCAUCAGGUCAUCUUUGUGCUCUCCAUUUCUGGACGGAGACCUUCUGGAUCAUUGACCAUGCACUUCUUGAAUCAUGGUGUGGCUUUAGACUUCAAUGUGAUGUAGCGGACCUGAUCCUUUGCGGCACAUCAGAUAUAGGAAACGUGCAGUGGAUGAAUAUAUUGCAAUUGCAAAGGAGAAACAUGGCUACAAUGUGGAACAGGCACUUGGCAUGUUGUUCUGGCAUAAACAUAACAUUGAGAAGUCCCUUGCUGAUCUCCCUAAUUUCACUCCCUUUCCGGAUGAGUGGACAGUGGAAGAUAAAGUCCUCUUUGAACAAGCCUUUAGUUUUCAUGGGAAGAGCUUUCACAGGAUUCAGCAAAUGCUUCCAGAUAAGACAAUUGCUAGCCUUGUAAAAUAUUACUAUUCCUGGAAAAAAACUCGAUCUAGAACAAGCUUGAUGGAUCGUCAGGCUCGUAAACUAGCCAAUAGACAUAAUCAGGGUGACAGUGAUGAUGAUGUGGAAGAAACACACCCAAUGGAUGGAAACGAUAGUGAUUAUGAUCCCAAAAAAGAAGCCAAGAAGGAGGGUAAUGCUGAUCAACCUGUCCAAACUAGCAAGAUCGGACUGGGGAGGAGAGAGUAUCAGAGUUUACAGCACCGCCAUCAUUCUCAGCGGUCUAAGUGCCGUCCCCCCAAGGGCAUGUAUUUAACCCAGGAAGACGUGGUAGCUGUUUCCUGUAGUCCCAGUGCGGCCAACACCAUCCUGAGGCAACUGGACAUGGAGUUGAUCUCUUUAAAACGUCAGGUUCAGAAUGCUAAGCAAGUGAACAGUGCGCUUAAACAGAAAAUGGAAGGUGGAAUUGAGGAGUUCAAACCUCCCGAGUCAAAUCAGAAAAUUAAUGCCCGUUGGACCACAGAGGAGCAGCUUCUAGCAGUGCAAGGUGACUGGCUACUAGGGAAAUAAAUGAAUGUGGAAUUGAGGAUGGAACAAAGAAUUGAAUGCUUUACAAUAAAUGGACUGUAUUUGAGAGUUCAAGAGAGGAUUGGAGAGAAUAACUGAGUAUGUAAAAAAUGGUGUCCGCAAAUAUGGUAAAGAUUUUCAAGCUAUUGCAGAUGUAAUUGGCAACAAGACUGUUGGCCAAGUGAAGAACUUCUUUGUAAACUACAGGCGUCGGUUUAACUUAGAGGAGGUAUUGCAGGAGUGGGAAGCAGAACAAGGAACCCAGGCUUCUAAUGGUGAUGCUUCUACUUUAGGGGAGGAGACAAAAAGUGCUUCUAAUGUGCCAUCAGGGAAGAGCACUGAUGAAGAAGAGGAGGCACAGACCCCACAGGCUCCUCGGACUCUGGGUCCAUCACCUCCUGCCCCAUCAUCCACUCCAACACCAACAGCCCCCAUUGCCACUCUGAACCAGCCUCCACCACUUCUUCGUCCAACACUGCCUGCUGCCCCUGCUCUUCACCGGCAGCCUCCUCCACUCCAGCAGCAGGCCCGGUUCAUCCAGCCCCGGCCAACUUUAAAUCAGCCUCCACCACCUCUCAUUCGCCCUGCUAAUUCAAUGCCACCCCGUCUAAACCCAAGACCAGUGUUGUCCACGGUUGGUGGUCAACAGCCGCCGUCACUGAUCGGAAUUCAGACAGAUUCACAGUCCUCCUCACUGCACUAAAAUUAAAGUGGACAGAGCUGCAGUGACUUUGUACCCCAUCAUUAUACCAGUGCUCAUCUGACUGAUGCAAAAGAGGAAAGCAUAAUCCUUCCUAGAUACUGAGGCUGCAAACUAGUUCUGUGGCAGGGGGCUAGCGUAAGGGGAUGUCUAGGAAAUGUUUUAGCUCACGCACUGAAAUGUUAUACAACAGAAAGCCUAGGGUUAGCCUCCUUUCUAGAGUAUACAGUCAGUGACAUGAUUUCAUUAAAGGAGAAAAAGGAUUAAGUAUUCUCUCUACCAAGGGUUUUUGGUUUUGUCUUUACUGUAUUUAUUUUAUUGAGGAUCUUUAUAUUCCUGCCUCUCCAUAGUCAAGGCUCUUAGUACAGGAAUAUUGACUUAGGAAUUGUGAAACUCCUUAAGUUUUGUAAGUUAAGGAUGUUGAACUUUUUCUCUUUUUUCUUUAAUUUAAUUUUUAACAUUUUCCUAUGUUAGGAGAGCAAGAAUAAAUAGCCUGCAUUUCAGAUUUUGACAUAUGUUCAUUUAAUGCAUAUUUAAGAAAUUAUAGUUGCAUAUCCCUUUUUCCAAAAAAUCUUGCUUUUUUUUCUAAAGGAAUUAAAAUAUAUUCCUUUAAAAGAAAGCAAUUUAAUCAAUUGCAAAGCAAUUAUAUGAAACCACAAAGAAUGUACUGAACCUUCUAACCCUUUAACAUACAGUUUAGGGUCCUAGUGCAGAGUCCUUGCUUAAAGGUCAUUGACUUGCCAUCUGUCAGGAAUAAGAGGAUCAGAAAAAUAAUUUUACAUAUAAAUGAGGACUUAACUUGUUGAAGUACAAUGUCUUUAAGUUCCUUAAAAACAGUAAUUUUGGUUUUUUUAAUGUUUCUAAAGCUAUCUGCUUUUAACUAGUAGUUGCUACAUUUGGGGGCUUAGAAGAGAAUUAUAUUUUGUUGGUUAUGUGGAGAUAGUGAUUAUGGAAGCAUUUAUUUACAAUACCCUUUUUGUGUUUAGGUUCUGAACUUUCAAUUGCCCUCAUCCUUAUUAAUAAUGGUCUGCAUUUAAUAUAAAGGAUGUUUUCUGGAUAAAUCUCUAUUGUAUUAUUUGGAUACGUUUGUGUAUUCCUUGCAGCCGACCUGUACUCAUGGGUUUGGUUUAGGGUUAAAUCAUCAACAUUAUUUCAAAAAAUAAAUGGAAGAAUUUGUUCUGUACUAUCUAAAGAUGUAUCAGUAUAUUGUCAGAGUUGUGCUGUUAAAAUGCCAAGACCCCCUUUUUAUAAAGAAACAAAAAAUAUUUCAAGUCUUUUAGUUUAACACAUAAUCAUUAAGCACCUAAAAGAAUAUUUUACAAGCAAUAGUAUUUCAACAGUGUAUUGCUAAUAUUUUUGAUACAAUGAUUUCAUAUUGGAAUCAUGACCUGUGCAAAGACAGAUCACUUUGAUUGCUAUACUAGUGGAACUUAAGCUAAAUGUUUGCACAUUCACAUUCUCCUCACAUUUAGAACUCCUUCACGAAAUGGUCAGCAUCUCAGGCCCUAAUUUAUAUUUUGAGAUGUCCUAUAUUCCCCAGAUAUUGGGAAAAAUAGUCCCUCCUUUUGGUUCUAAAGCAUUAAAGAGCUGCUAUAGACCUAAAUCCCUUGAUUGGUUUUAACUUAGAAGUUUAGCUCAUGUCUUUCUAUUUCGGACCUUAAUUAAGUUCUGGCGUAAUCUAAAGCUUUUUCCAAGAUGUGUUUUGUCUCACUGGAUCAUCUUAACGACUUAAAAGUCUUGAUAUUCUAGAAUUUGUACUCAUUUUUACUUUAAAAGCCACGGGGGACAGUUCUAUAUCUUAAAGGAAAAUAUCUAAAGCGUUUUAAAGUAUUGAGAUUGUCUUGCCUAUGUGCUUACUCUACAGCUUUGAUUGUCUUGUCUCUUGUCAGUAGACCUUCAGUAUACAGUAGGUGGGAUAUGUGAGGCAAGUUGGUCAGAACCAGCAUCUGUCCAGCUGCUGUAAGUAUGUUGUGAUUCAUUUACAAUCUGUUCUAUCCCAGCCGUGGGCAGAGGUGCUGUAUCUGAGGGAUGUGCUAUAAUUUGAUUUACGUACACUAGAGCACACAGUAGAAAAAUCUUAGCUUCAUUAGUAAUAUGACACAUGUAUAUAGUGAGAUGUCCUUAUUGUGUGCUUUGCAUAUUUUGUAAAUAUUUUGCACGUCAUUAUUUUUCUUUUUUGUUUAAGCAGUGUUUGGCCUGGAAGAGUGAUAUGCUUGCUGCUUAAUCAAAGGAUUAAAGAGUUAAAGAUGUCUAUGUCUUCUAUUUUCACAUAAUUUCAUGUUGUAUGAAAAAUUUAGGACCUCUUCACUGUGAAAUUCUAAAUACUGAUUUUUAUAAAAAAAAGAAAAGCAAAACCUAAAAACCUUUUAAUGGCCAUUUCAUUAAUUUCAAGUUUUAUCAUUUUUAAAAAUCUACACCCAAGUAUUUUUUUCAUUAUAUAAGCUAAAAGUAAAUCACACUUUUGAUACACCUGGUAGUAUUAAUGGAAAAAAAAUUUUCUAUAUGAUUUAAUUCCAGUGUGAUAUGGAUGUAGAUAAGGAUAGGUUAUGAUAAAAGCUUUUUCUUAAUAGUCUUACGGUUGAGUAAAAUAUAAUGUAAAAUAAACUUGAAAGAAUGUC